AGAGUUUGAUCCUGGCUCAGGAUGAACGCUGGCGGCGUGCCUAAUACAUGCAAGUCGAGCGAACAGAUAAGGAGCUUGCUCCUUUGACGUUAGCGGCGGACGGGUGAGUAACACGUGGGUAACCUACCUAUAAGACUGGGAUAACUUCGGGAAACCGGAGCUAAUACCGGAUAAUAUUUCGAACCGCAUAGUUCGAUAGUGAAAGAUGGUUUUGCUAUCACUUAUAGAUGGACCCGCGCCGUAUUAGCUAGUUGGUAAGGUAACGGCUUACCAAGGCAACGAUACGUAGCCGACCUGAGAGGGUGAUCGGCCACACUGGAACUGAGACACGGUCCAGACUCCUACGGGAGGCAGCAGUAGGGAAUCUUCCGCAAUGGGCGGAAGCCUGACGGAGCAACGCCGCGUGAGUGAUGAAGGUCUUCGGAUCGUAAAACUCUGUUAUUAGGGAAGAACAUACGUGUAAGUAACUAUGCACGUCUUGACGGUACCUAAUCAGAAAGCCACGGCUAACUACGUGCCAGCAGCCGCGGUAAUACGUAGGUGGCAAGCGUUAUCCGGAAUUAUUGGGCGUAAAGCGCGCGUAGGCGGUUUUUUAAGUCUGAUGUGAAAGCCCACGGCUCAACCGUGGAGAGUCAUUGGAAACUGGAAAACUUGAGUGCAGAAGAGGAAAGUGGAAUUCCAUGUGUAGCGGUGAAAUGCGCAGAGAUAUGGAGGAACACCAGUGGCGAAGGCGACUUUCUGGUCUGUAACUGACGCUGAUGUGCGAAAGCGUGGGGAUCAAACAGGAUUAGAUACCCUGGUAGUCC
rnacentral:rRNA from 1 species